AUGUGGGAAACCACGAUGCGGGAAACCCAAGUGCCAGCACUAAGUGUUGGCUGUCCUCAAGCGUUUAUGGCUUGGGAAGAAAGUGCUGGGUAAGACGGGUGCCAGCCGCCGCGGUAAUACCCGCAGCACGAGUGGUGGUCAUUAUUAUUGGGCCUAAAGCGUCCGUAGCUGGCUUGUUAGAUGCCUGGGUAAAUCGAAUCGCUCAACGGUUCGAACUCCGGGUAGACCGGCAAGCUCGAGACCGGGAGAGGUGUAGGCUACUCGAGGGGUAGGGGUAAAAUCCUGUAAUCCUUCGGGGAGGACCAGUGGCGAAGGCGCUACACUUGAACGGCUCUGACAGUGAGGGACGAAGCCCUGGGGCGCAAACCGGAUUAGAUACCCGUGUAGUCC
rnacentral:rRNA from 1 species